UUGUUUUUAUUUGAGCUCCACUCUGCUUAGUACAGUGCCUGGCACCUGGAAACCCUAAAUGGAUCAUGAAGAAUUGCAUAGAAUUGAAAUGAAUGAGCAGCAAUGGCAAAUGAGGAAUGUUGAUUAGAUCUGGAAGAAAAAAUGAUCCUUCUCUUUGAAAAAGGCAUCCUUCUGUUGACCAAAGGGGCUGGCAGUGCUUAGAUUUUGGAAGAUCAGACAUUGAAGAACUGAGCAUAUCUAGAUCCUGGCAAAAAGGAACAAGACCCUCCAAUAUGCCUGGUCAGGACAUAGAGGUGACCCUGGGUUCUGGGAAGCUAAGGCUAUUGAACUACAGUGCUGAAAGUUCCUACAGAGUCAGAAAAACUUUAAGACUGAACAUGAUGAUGGAGUUUGUAUGCAUUAAGAAAAAGACAAGCAAUCUCCAUUAGACUGGUGACGCCAUCUUAUUUCCCUGGAAAAGAAGCAUGGAUAUAUUGGCUUUUGGAUAUCAGAAGGAGCAGCCCAACCCUGAUUGUGCCCAGUAGAAUGUGAGCUCCUUGAUGAAAGGUACUCUUUUUCAUUCUUCUUAGCUGUCUCCAGCACCUAGCAAUAUUUUGCAAAUUAUAACUGUUCAAUGAAAACUUGUCAUGUUUUUUUUGUGAGGGCAGGGGUCUGGAUUUGAUUUCAUUAGCAUGGGAAACUCUCUGUAGUGAGAAAAUGUCUCUUAUCAACUCAGAUCAGCAUAUAUUUUGCAACCUAGAGCCUUAGAGAGUUGCCAGAGGGCACUGUGACUUGAUGAUGAGAUUUUCCCACAAUUACCCAGCCAAUCUCUACUAAUGACAAGACUUGAAACCAGAUAUUUCUAACUCAAGGCCAGUUCUCUAUCAACAACCCCCAAGCUGUAUCUCUGUUGGAUUGAUUAUGCAAAUGAAAAUCAUUCUAUUUGGAAGAUAUUCCCCAACAUGUCAACAGUCCAUCAUAACUUUCCUUAAUAGGGGAAUUUAUCCAACUAUUUAGUAGUACAAUUUGUGGCUAGCCCAUAUUAUUGGAUGAAUCAAUGAGUCAAUUGACAAGACAACAAAUAAAUUACCAGAUGCAUACA
rnacentral:lncRNA from 1 species